UUGCAAGGAGGGAAGGAAGGAGAGAGAUGAGGGGAGGAUCCCAAUUCCACGACCACCACCGCCAUUUAUAUCACUAUCGCAAACCAGCAGCCAUUCUCCGAAAUCGAGAAGACGCAAUCGAAGGGGUUUGACAUUGAGAUCGCUGGCAUAUUGACUUUCUAUACUCUUGCACACAACUUUUCGAUGACACAAAUCCAGAUCUCACCCUUCGAUUCAAUUCCUCCUUUUUCAAUUUCUCAGAUUCUCCAAUUCCCCAUUCUUCUCUCCCAAAUCCCCCCAAAAAAGAGGGCUUGAUCGAUCUCUCUGUCCUUUAACAGAUUGUUAGCUUUUUGAGUUCACUCAAUUUCGAUGUCGACUUCGCAAGCUAAUCAUCUGACGGAGCAGAUCGUGCCACAACAGCAACAUCAACUGCCUUUGAAGCGCCAACCGCCAUUCUCCUCCAUGGAGCCGCCAUUUGGGGACUACCACCAGUUUUCCUCACCGGCCCUCGACCUCAGGUUGAAGGAACCCGAGGCUAUUGUGGUCAAAUCUCCGGCAUUAAAGAGGAAGAGUGAAAAGGCAGACUUAGUAGCCAAGUCCAGUGAUUGGAACCCUAGUACUGGAUAUGUGGAAGCUGUUGGCAGCCCUCUUCAAACACCUGUAUCAGGAAAUUGGGGAAAGGCACAAAAAGCGUCGAGGAUGGAAAAAUCCAAUAGAUUUGGGUCUCAAACUGCUGUUUCAAAUGUUGGUUCUCCUUCAAGCAAUAAUCUUACUACAAUUGGUCCCUGUUGUUAUGAUAGCUCCCUCGGUACAGAAGAGGCAUAUAUAUGAUAUAAUAAAUGACCUUGAAGGAAUUGGUCUCAUCGAAAAGAAGCUCAAGAAUAGAAAUCGAUGGAAGUACAGAUGGGAGUUGAUGUGUCAAGGCCAGGGGAGAUUGAUAAGAAUGCUGUUAUCAUACAGGUGUUUGAGUCAUUAGCUAUGUUGCUUACUGAAUUGGAUGUCUUAGUUUUGCUGAUCUGGCUAUUAGUUGCCCCACUCCCUACACACGACCAGACAUCACCACUUCAGUAAUGAUUUACAAAUUAUUUGCUUCCUUUGGUCUCUUCCAACAAUAUUGAUGUUCUAUUUUGUUAGAAAGAUGCACUUGCUAUAUAGGUAUGCUAAUUGUAUUGUUGCCAUAACAUGAUGUGGGAGAUAUUGUAUUAAAAGGAAGUAGACAUCCUUGUGUUGAGGCACUAGAUUCGGUGAAUUUUAUCCCCACUGAUUGUAAACUAGUGAGUUUUUAUGCAAUCUAAGGGAUGGUUACUUUAUCUUACUUCUUUGUCUUUUAAAUAAAAUGGCUCAUUAGUUGCUUAUUUUGAUUUUCAUCACAACAUGUCAGGGGAAAAAGUUGGUUCCAGAAUAUCACAGGGCCUAACAUGGGUGGAAAAUCCACAUUUAUCAGACAGGCAUUAUGUUUCUCUUUUGCUGGAACUCUUCUUUCUCUAUCCAUCCCUCUCAAAUUAAAUAAAUAGUGGAUGUUUUAUUUUUCCAAUAAAUACAACUAGGGUAGUCUGUACUGUUUACAGUGUACCAUGUGUAGGGCCAUGUUUAAUUAAAUAGCUCUAUUGCUUUGGUGUUUCUGAAAAAUUAGAGUUAUUUCUUUUGCAAGUUUAUUUUCAUUCAAUUUG